rnacentral:rRNA from 1 species
AGUGAACGCUGGCGGUAGGCCUAACACAUGCAAGUCGAACGGCAGCACAGUAAGAGCUUGCUCUUACGGGUGGCGAGUGGCGGACGGGUGAGGAAUACAUCGGAAUCUACUUUUUCGUGGGGGAUAACGUAGGGACACUUACGCUAAUACCGCAUACGACCUACGGGUGAAAGCAGGGGAGCUUCGGACCUUGCGCGAUUCAAUUAGACGAUGCCGGAUUAGCUAGUUGGCAAGGUAAGGGCCCGCCAAGGCAACGAUGCAUAGCCGACCUGAGAGGGUGAUCGGCCACACUGGAACUGAGACACGGUCCAGACUCCUACGGGAGGCAGCAGUAGGGAAUCUUCCGCAAUGGGCGCAAGCCUGACGGAGCAACGCCGCGUGAGUGAUGAAGGUCUUCGGAUCGUAAAACUCUGUUAUUAGGGAAGAACAUAUGUGUAAGUAGCUGUGCACAUCUUGACGGUACCUAAUCAGAAAGCCACGGCUAACUACGUG